CAAGUGAUGUGCUAGGCUAGCUUAGAACACGUCCUUGUGUUAAAACCUAGACAUCUACAAGAAGGGGAAUCCACCUCCAGAGGGCAAAAAUUGUUGUAGUACUUAGCAGCCUAGGGGUGGGGAGCAGGAGCAGCAAGCAUCAUUCACUACAUCAAAGAAGAGAUUCUUCAACCUUCUCAAGAGACAGCACUCUGAGUGACACAUGAGUGGUGCCCUUGGAAUUGUCCACCACGGAAACCCUCCCCAGGACUUCCUGAGAAGGGAUGGGACCAUGAAGUUACCUCCCUCCUGAUUAUACACACAUGUAUGGAAGACAAAAAUCAAAUUCUGUCACUGACUGUGAGAUUCACUAGAUCCAAGAACCUGGAAUCCUGCUGAGUCCUGGAGCUUGAGAGUCUAGAGUAUUAAACUUUCUACUACAUGAGACGUGAAAGAUUCCAGGACAAAGUAUUUUUCUACUUUUGUUCUGGAAGAUGGGCUUCAUUCUUUGGGAAACUAUAUAUUCGAAUUGAUUCUCAAGUACAGCUUCUCCUAUAUGGAUGAAGAGCUACUCAAAAUAAAAUGAAAAUAGCCAAAGCAUGAGAAUUUUAUUCAAGGCAGCCAAAUGGAAUCCCAGGAUACCAUCCUUGCCAGAGACUUUAACCUUGAAUUGACUGCUCUCCAGCUCCUGUCAAAGGCCUGACUGACAGACACAAUAUCCUACAACUAAAGAGGCCGUGAUUUUCCCAAUGUACACUGCGAAAGAGACGGCAGAGGGAGGACUAGAACUAGACGACCAAAAUCUUGAAUGUCCCUCAAGAGCAUCGUAUAAUGUCCUCCAAAUACUACUUCAUUUGUGUUCUUCUGUGGAUUGAAUGCCA
rnacentral:lncRNA from 1 species